UACGUAGGGUGCGAGCGUUAAUCGGAAUUACUGGGCGUAAAGCGUGCGCAGGCGGUUUUGUAAGCCAGAUGUGAAAGCCCCGGGCUUAACCUGGGAAUGGCAUUUGGGACUGCAAGGCUUGAGUGCGGCAGGAGGAGACUGGAAUUCCGUGGUGUAGCAGUGAAAUGCGUAGAUAUCAGGAGGAAUACCGAUGGCGAAGGCAGGUCUCUGGGCUGACACUGACGCUCAUGCACGAAAGCGUGGGGAGCAAACAGG
rnacentral:rRNA from 1 species